GGAGAGGUCGCAUAGUUGGUCUAGUGCGCGCGCUUGGAAAGCGCGUAAGGGUCACACCUUCGCGGGUUCGAAUCCCGCCCUCUCCG
rnacentral:tRNA from 1 species